rnacentral:snoRNA from 1 species
AUCCCGUGGUGAGAACAUGCUAGGAUGUACUCUUGAAGCCUUUCCCACGCCUCAGGAAUUGACUCAGCAGCUGCUUGCUGGAAACUUGAAAUCCUUCCAUGAAGGGU